rnacentral:rRNA from 1 species
UACGAAGGGUGCAAGCGUUAAUCGGAAUUACUGGGCGUAAAGGGUGCGUAGGCGGUUGUUUAAGUCUGUCGUGAAAUCCCCGGGCUCAACCUGGGAAUGGCGAUGGAUACUGGACAGCUAGAGUGUGUCAGAGGAUGGUGGAAUUCCCGGUGUAGCGGUGAAAUGCGUAGAGAUCGGGAGGAACACCAGUGGCGAAGGCGGCCAUCUGGGACAACACUGACGCUGAAGCACGAAAGCGUGGGGAGCAAACAGG